rnacentral:lncRNA from 1 species
UUUCUUCUUCCCAAUUUUAUUCUCUUCUUUGCUCUGCUAAACAGGUUUGCUUUCAAUGACUAAUUUUAAUUCCUCUUAUUUACCUUCUGUUGUUGUUGUUGCUGCUUGUUCUUUGUUCGAGAAGCCGGUUGCGUUAACGGCAGCUUCAUGUUCAUCGCUGACGUCUUCUAUCAAAGGAGUACUUGACGACAGUGUCGAAGACGACUGCUAUAUCUGUCUCGAGCCUUUCACUAUACAAGACCCUAUCACUGUAUGAUUCAUUACUCUUUGCUCCUCUUUUGAUUCAGCUGUUCUUAUAAUGUCUACUUCACUAAACUUAGCAUUUAUUUCCAUUUCCUCAUACAAUUAAACAAAGCAUCAAAUAAAAUAAAAAUCCCCUUUAUCGUUAAAUUAAGCUCAAAUUAACGUUGCACACUCUAAACCCAUUUCAAAAUCAGCUAAAAUUAAAAUCUCAAGAAAGAAAAAAAAUGGAAAAACAAAGCAAGGAGCAAAGAAUUGGUGAAAAAGUGGAUGGGUUGAUGAGAAAUAGACCUUUGGGGAAAGGAA